rnacentral:misc_RNA from 1 species
UUACAUAUUAAGUACAACACUGUCCAUAUACACACAGCAGUCACUAGCCGUCAUUCAUUAUCAUUUAUUAGAUACUUUUGGUUGCAUUUGGAUUACGUUGAUAGCGCAUUCGGACUGGGAACUAAAUUUGUGUGCAAAAACUGAAUAAAAAAAUUAAUUCGUGUUAAAUUAAGAAAAUGGAUAAUUUUAAACUAGUCACCCUUGAAGAAUUGAAAAAACACAAUAAACCAGACGAUCUGUGGAUAGCAAUCGAAGGAAAGGUGUAUAAUGUGACCAAAUUUCGAAACGAGCAUCCCGGAGGUGAGGAAACGCUGGAUGAAGUUGGUGGCCUUAAUGCUACAGUACAAUUUAAUGAAGUGGGACAUAGUCAAGAGGCUAAACAAAUGCUCAAGAAAUAUUACGUCGGUCACCUUGUGAGUGGCGAGGAGUCAGCUGCACAAACUGCCAUAAGCUACAACGAUCUAAACAAAAUGGCGUAAUAGCUAAAAUAUAUGUACAUACAAACAUAUUUCCUUAAACUGCAUGAAAAACCAUUGCUCUGGAUAGAGAAUAAAAAUGAAAACCAGUUUCGCUAAGAAAAACAAGAAUGACUGAAAUUUGGUCUGCAUACAUAUGUAUGUACAUAUGUACAUUUGUAAAUGGAACCACAGCAUACCUGCAAUUAACUGCAUUUCGCUACACGUGUCGGUCAAAAGCCAUUACUUUCUGGACUCGCAUGUAAAAAAAUCAUUAAUCAUAAUUACUAUUUAUGCAUGUAUAUUUUUUUUUUUUUUGAACAACUACGCAAUUAUAACAAAGACAUGGCUAUAUGUACAUAUGUAUGUAUAUGCAUUCAUACCAUAGCAUGUAUACAUCAGCCAUUGCUUCUUGAAAAACAAAUAAAAACAAUUCAUAAAAAACUCA